rnacentral:rRNA from 1 species
CUUAACACAUGCAAGUCGAACGAUGAAGCGGUGCUUGCACCGUGGAUUAGUGGCGAACGGGUGAGUAACACGUGGGUGAUCUGCCCUGCACUUCGGGAUAAGCCUGGGAAACUGGGUCUAAUACCGGAUAUGACCGCAUUGUUAGUGGGUGUGGUGGAAAGGUUUUUUUCCGGUGCAGGAUGAGCCCGCGGCCUAUCAGCUUGUUGGUGGGGUAAUGGCCUACCAAGGCGUCGACGGGUAGCCGGCCUGAGAGGGUGUACGGCCACAUUGGGACUGAGACACGGCCCAGACUCCUACGGGAGGCAGCAGUGGGGAAUAUUGCACAAUGGGCGCAAGCCUGAUGCAGCGACGCCGCGUGGGGGAUGACGGCCUUCGGGUUGUAAACCCCUUU